AGACCCGAAACCCGGUGAUCUAGCCAUGGGCAGGUUGAAGGUUGGGUAACACUAACUGGAGGACCGAACCGACUAAUGUUGAAAAAUUAGCGGAUGACCUGUGGCUGGGGGUGAAAGGCCAAUCAAACCGGGAGAUAGCUGGUUCUCCCCGAAAGCUAUUUAGGUAGCGCCUCGUGAAUUCAUCUCCGGGGGUAGAGCACUGUUUCGGCUAGGGGGCCAUCCCGGCUUACCAACCCGAUGCAAACUGCGAAUACCGGAGAAUGUUAUCACGGGAGACACACGGCGGGUGCUAACGUCCGUCGUGAAGAGGGAAACAACCCAGACCGCCAGCUAAGGUCCCAAAGUCAUGGUUAAGUGGGAAACGAUGUGGGAAGGCCCAGACAGCCAGGAUGUUGGCUUAGAAGCAGCCAUCAUUUAAAGAAAGCGUAAUAGCUCACUGGUCGAGUCGGCCUGCGCGGAAGAUGUAACGGGGCUAAACCAUGCACCGAAGCUGCGGCAGCGACACUGUGUGUUGUUGGGUAGGGGAGCGUUCUGUAAGCCUGUGAAGGUGUGUCGUGAGGCAUGCUGGAGGUAUCAGAAGUGCGAAUGCUGACAUAAGUAACGAUAAAGCGGGUGAAAAGCCCGCUCGCCGGAAGACCAAGGGUUCCUGUCCAACGUUAAUCGGGGCAGGGUGA
rnacentral:rRNA from 1 species